UAAGUACUGUGACUUGCGGAAUUCAGUGAAUCAUCGCAUCUUUGAACGCACCUUGCG
rnacentral:rRNA from 1 species